UAUACUUUUUUAGAUUUUUUAGUACUUAUCAAACUGAUUUUUUAUAUUGUGCAGUAUGGGAGAUUCGAGAGCUUCGUUUAGUCUCGCGACAAGAUUUGUUUGGUUUUUGCAAUGUAUUAUCAAAAACUCUCUUUUUCAUCUUGUUAUAUGUUAUGACUUAUGAGUUGAACAUUGUAUCUCUUUAUUUUUCAUGUGUAUUGUAUGUGGUAACUUUUUUCAAUCCAAUAUAAUUUUUGUGAAAAAAAAAGAGAAAAAAAA
rnacentral:sRNA from 1 species